UACAGAGGGUGCGAGCGUUAAUCGGAUUUACUGGGCGUAAAGGGCGCGUAGGCGGCGCAACAAGUCACUUGUGAAAUCUCCGGGCUUAACCCGGAGCGGCCAAGUGAUACUGUCGUGCUAGAGUGCGGAAGGGGCUACUGGAAUUCUCGGUGUAGCGGUGAAAUGCGUAGAUAUCAAGAGGAACACCUGCGGCGAAGGCGGUUCUCUGGGCCUUACCUGACGCUGAGGAGCGAAAGCGUGGGGAGCGAACAGG
rnacentral:rRNA from 1 species